rnacentral:rRNA from 1 species
AUUGAACGCUGGCGGCAGGCUUAACACAUGCAAGUCGAGCGGAGUGAUGGUGCUUGCACUAUCACUUAGCGGCGGACGGGUGAGUAAUGCUUAGGAAUCUGCCUAUUAGUGGGGGACAACAUCUCGAAAGGGAUGCUAAUACCGCAUACGUCCUACGGGAGAAAGCAGGGGAUCACUUGUGACCUUGCGCUAAUAGAUGAGCCUAAGUCGGAUUAGCUAGUUGGUGGGGUAAAGGCCUACCAAGGCGACGAUCUGUAGCGGGUCUGAGAGGAGGAUCCGCCACACUGAGGCUGCGGCACGGCCCAGACUCCUACGGUAGGCAGCAGUGGGGAAGAUUUGACAAUGGGGGGAACCCUGAUCCAGCCAGGCCGCGUGUGGGAAGAAGGCCUUAUGGUUGUAAAGCACUUGAAGCGAGGAGGAGGCUCUUUUGGUUAAUACCCAAGAUGAGUGGACGUUACUCGCAGAAUAAGCACCGGCUAACUCUGUGCCAGCCGCCGCAGUAA